rnacentral:rRNA from 1 species
CGGGGUGGAGUAAUGUCUGGGAAACUGCCUGAUGGAGGGGGAUAACUGCUGGAAACGGUAGCUAAUACCGCAUAACGUCGCAAGACCGAAGAGGGGGACCUUCGGGCCUCUUGCCAUCGGAUGUGCCCAGAUGGGAUUAGCUAGUAGGUGGGGUAACGGCUCACCUAGGCGACGAUCCCUAGCUGGUCUGAGAGGAUGACCAGCCACACUGGAACUGAGACACGGUCCAG